rnacentral:rRNA from 1 species
GUUACCUGCAGUCGAACGAUGAUCCCAGCUUGCUGGGGGAUUAGUGGCGAACGGGUGAGUAACACGUGAGUAACCUGCCCUUGACUCUGGGAUAAGCCUGGGAAACUGGGUCUAAUACCGGAUAUGACCAUUCCACGCAUGUGGUGGUGGUGGAAAGCUUUUGUGGUUUUGGAUGGACUCGCGGCCUAUCAGCUUGUUGGUGGGGUAAUGGCCUACCAAGGCGACGACGGGUAGCCGGCCUGAGAGGGUGACCGGCCACACUGGGACUGAGACACGGCCCAGACUCCUACGGGAGGCAGCAGUGGGGAAUAUUGCACAAUGGGCGCAAGCCUGAUGCAGCGACGCCGCGUGAGGGAUGACGGCCUUCGGGUUGUAAACCUCUUUCAGUAGGGAAGAAGCGAAAGUGACGGUACCUGCAGAAGAAGCGCCGGCUAACUACGUGCCAGCAGCCGCGGUAAUACGUAGGGCGCAAGCGUUAUCCGGAAUUAUUGGGCGUAAAGAGCUCGUAGGCGGUUUGUCGCGUCUGCUGUGAAAGACCGGGGCUCAACUCCGGUUCUGCAGUGGGUACGGGCAGACUAGAGUGCAGUAGGGGAGACUGGAAUUCCUGGUGUAGCGGUGAAAUGCGCAGAUAUCAGGAGGAACACCGAUGGCGAAGGCAGGUCUCUGGGCUGUAACUGACGCUGAGGAGCGAAAGCAUGGGGAGCGAACAGGAUUAGAUACCCUGGUAGUCCAUGCCGUAAACGUUGGGCACUAGGUGUGGGGGACAUUCCACGUUUUCCGCGCCGUAGCUAACGCAUUAAGUGCCCCGCCUGGGGAGUACGGCCGCAG